GUUAUUUUUAAAUGCUACAUAAUGUAUAUAUAUAUAUAUAUAUAGAGAGAGAGAGAGAGAGAAAGAGAGAGAUAAGAGAAGAUAAGAAAACCUUUAUUUGUCUCACAAUGGAGAAAUUCCUAAUUUACAGCAGCAAAAUUAUGAAAGGGAGAAGGUAGAAGAUAAAAAGUAUAGAAAUAAAUAUAAACAUAAAAUAUAAAUAUAAGCAUAUUGUAAAUGGGUGAGUGGGGGUGAGUCCAGGUUUUCAGGAUCGUCUAUUCAAUAGCCUGAGAGAGGGGGUGAAUUUGGGGC